GCCUUCGUAGCACAGGUGGUAGUGCUGCCGACUUUUAAUCGGCGGGUCGUAGGUUCGAGCCCUACCGGAGGCA
rnacentral:tRNA from 1 species